UACAGAGGGGGCAAGCGUUAUUCGGAAUUAUUGGGCGUAAAGGGCGCGUAGGCGGGCUGUCAAGUCUGGGGGUGAAAUCCCCACGGCUUAACCGUGGAACUGCUCGGUAUACUGCGAGUCUUGGCCACUUAGGGGCUACCGGAACAAAAUGGUGGAGCGGUGAAAUGCGUAGAUAUCAAGAGGAACACCUGAGGUGAAGACGGGUUGCUGGGCUGACACUGACGCUGAGGAGCGAAAGUGUGGGGGAGCGAACAGG
rnacentral:rRNA from 1 species